UACGAAGGGAGCUAGCGUUGUUCGGAAUCACUGGGCGUAAAGCGCACGUAGGCGGAUGUGUCAGUCAGGGGUGAAAUCCCGGAGCUCAACUUCGGAACUGCCUUUGAUACAGCACGUCUUGAGUCCGAUAGAGGUGGGUGGAAUUCCUAGUGUAGAGGUGAAAUUCGUAGAUAUUAGGAAGAACACCGGUGGCGAAGGCGGCUCACUGGUCCAUUACUGACGCUGAGGUGCGAAAGCGUGGGGAGCAAACAGG
rnacentral:rRNA from 1 species